AAGGGGGUGUUAUUAGUUGUUUAAGUUAAAUUCAACUCCAUUAGAUUUUAAAAUUCAUAAGACUUUCAAAAUCUGGGUUCAUUGAGACUGAUUUAUUAUUCAUUCUUUAAAUCAGUGGAAGUGUAUUUACACUGACACAUGAUAUCUUUUGGUUUUGAACAAUAGAAUUGAAUUCUCUAACAAAUGAUUUUACAAUUUUCAAUGAAAUUAUACCAAACUUUUACCAUCACGUAUUUUUUUCCCAUUUCAAAUUUCUGUAUUGAAGUCUUAACAUAUCUUUU
rnacentral:lncRNA from 1 species